UAGUAAUUGCUGUAAUCUGUUCUCCAUAGGCUAGCAAGUUAUCUGAGACCAUCUGAAUCAUAGCUUUCUGUCUGAUCAGCUAAAGUGAAGGUCUGAGCUGAGGCUAACAAGUCAUCUGAGAUCAUCUGAAUCAUGGUUUUCUGUCUGAUCAGCUGAAGUGAAGGUCUGAGCUGAGGGCGACUGUGUGUUUUUCAAAGGGAAAGGAGGCAAGUUAGGUGAUCUUAGUGGAGCUAUGUCGUAUCCGACUUUUAGCGGUGUUAAUGUGUAUUUUGUUGAUUACGUUACUUGCUGCGCUGGUGACUGAGAAUUGCUCGUUGUCCUGGAAAGUAGUCAAAUGUGAAAAAGAAAAUGUCUGAACGAGAUCAGUAACUCUGAUAGACUUUCGCUGUUGUACGGGUUUUUGUGAUAUUCGCGAGGAAGCUCUCUUUUUCUUCUUAGCAGGGUGGGUAAAGGAGAACAAGGGGAACUAGACAGGAUGUGUCACGAAUUGACGUAGCUGAUAGUCAUUUGAUGUUAAAAUACCGUAUUUAUUGGAAUAAACGCCGCCCUCGAAUAAAGGCAUCAUGAUGCGGCGUUUAUUGCAAAAAUAGACUCAAAAAAAGCAAAUGCGGUAAUAUUCCAGUUUGAGAAAAAAAAUUUUUUCCUUGAUUGUAUGUUUAAGAGCAGUACAUUCGAAGCUCAAAGGAAUAUAAUCAAAACACGCGAAUAAUAUACGGUAGUUGACAGAAUAGCUUAAUAAAGGUUUGGAGAUAACAAUGUUUUUUUUUAGUUCGAAGAUAGUAUACUUCAAUGCUCUUUCACUAAGCUCCCUAAUCUCCAGAAUUCUUGCAAUGCACAGUCUCGUUGUCAAAGCGGAGUGGUUAACUGGCUCAUGAAGAGGAAAGUGACAUUGAAAUUGAGUGAGCUUUAUUCACUUUAUGUAUUGCAAUAGUAUUAACAUUCAAAUUGUGAAAUUGAGAACGAUAUAGAAAAUGACUUUCCAGACAAGCACUUAAACGUGUUUCUGUUUUUUAAAAUUCAAAUUUUCAGUUACCAUACUAUUGUUUGCAAUAAAUGAAUUGGAUUUUAAAUACACGCCGCCCUCUUAUAAACGCCACCAUCGAAUAAACGCCGCACUCGAAUCACGAUAAAUUUAUCAUACGCCUCAGCGUUUAAUUGAAUAAAUACAGUACUUGCACUAUAAGGGUGAGGUCGUGUUAAAAAAUAGGUCCGCAAUGCAUACGCGUGUUUAAUGCGUUUUCAGCUAACUGGAGCCAUAAUCAGAGACGGACACUUUAAGGGGAGAGCCGUCCAUGGAGUAGUGGAAGAAAUGAUAAGUUUUAAGCAGGAAAUGUUAUUGACAGAAGUUUACCGACAAAUGUCAAAUUAACUUGUUCAUGAAAUAUCAAAAUGGUUUCCUGGAAUUGCUAAGCCUACUAUAUAAAAGUCUGUAACUGAGAACGUUAGCCCCAAGUCGAUGACUUAAUGGCCUUGAAUUACACUGAAGUUCUGAUAUUAAGUUUUUACUAUGGCUGUAAAGGGAAUAUAGACAUGUUGAACAACAAUCAAUUUGCAUGGAGAAUUUACAAGGUUCUUUUAUUAAAAUGUAACUGUACGUGGAAUAAAAAGGAAGCAACAACGCUAAUCACUGUACAUUUUGUAUACUUCUUACGAUAGCUUGUUGUAAGGUUGCAUGUUGAUCAAUGGGUAGUUGUUUGUAGAGUGUCUUCUGGACAGAAGAGUGUUUCUAAUAAUUAACUGAAUCAAAAUCUUCAAGUGGUUGUCAGAAUACAAUAGUUGCACAAAGAAUUCUGUGAAUUAGCUCAACUCCUCACAUAAAAAAUAUCGAUGAGACGUUGAUACAAAGUUAAAUACUUGUAUGAAAAAAGAAAUAACAAUGGAGAACAGAGUGCUCCAUUUCCCAUUGCCCAGCUAGUUUGCCUGACUUUGGUUUACUAGAUUCUUGUGCUCACAUCUGACAUGGCAUGGUGCAGAUGUCUUGCGUCGUUGUUAGUGUCAAAAUUGUUCAGUGCCAACUUUAAGUGUAAGAGCAUGUUUCCAAAGCAACUGUCCUCAACUUUUCUGUGCAUUAGUUACUUCUUUAUAGGUGCAGAUCAAAAUGUUGGUAUUUUGUCUGCUUUUGUAUCUGAAGGUAAAUGUCAGCACUGUUAAGUUUGAAUUUGCAUUUUACAUUAUGUGUGAAACUCAGUGCUGUUUUGUUUCACUGGAUCUGUUUAUAACUCACAUAAUUAUUGAACUGCAGUAAUAAUAGUUCAAAAAACAAGUGAAAGGGUACAAAUAUACAGCAAAAUUGUAUAACAAGUUAUUUUCCUACUUGUCAGGUCUGUGCAAGACAUGCAAAACUGUCGCACUUUCUCUCUUUCGCUGAUAACUAAAUAUUGACUACAACAUUUGGGAAAUAAAUCACUUAUUACACAAUUUCAUGUGCAGUAUCGAAGUAUAAUUUUAUUCGUUGUUUGUGUAUUGUCUUGCUCAUCAAAAUACAGCACAUUGACUCAUAAUAAUAUAGAGUAAUGCUUUGUACAUCAAAACAUCUAUUAAGAUAUAUGUGCUGUAUUGCAUUGCAUGGUAUGCCAUAAUAGCCAUUCCCUCCAUGAGAUGCACCUGUAGGGAGACAUGAUGGUAGUUGUUUUAAUCAUCUUGGAUUGGAUAUUUGUUUUUAUAAAUACAACUACCAUGAUUCCCUGCAGGCACAUCUCAUAGAGGGAAUAGAGCAUUGCAAGGUAUUGUAUUGUAUUGUAUUGUACAUGUAUACAUCUAUCAAAAAUUGAUAACAAACAUGGAAUGCAGUGUAUGACAUUUACAAACUAAAAACUACAUUCAGGCCUAAAUAGUAGCCUGGUUAGCCUAAAAAUCACUCUGCAUAGCCUAAAUAACACUCAGGCUAGCCUAAAUAAUGCUCAGGUUAGCCUGUUUACGGUUAGCUCUCGGUAGUGGAAAUGAGGAUGCCGAUAAUGAAUAAAAAGUGUGCAGUCUGGAAAUGUCAUAGACCCCCUGGAUGUAAGUCAGCUAGCUACGUGUAUCAGUCUACAGCAAAGAGUCAUUUGCUCGUACAGAAUAUCUUGAAGAGCUAUAUAGGUUAUUUCCAAUAAUUAAAUUCAGAGUGAAAUAAAUUUGCAAAUUAAUAUAUUCUAUUUGAUGAGACAAUUCAACACAUUGCUUUCCAGUAUCUUCACCAAAGAGUGUUGCAUUUCCUUGAUUUGUAGUCUACAGACACAGUGAUCGUUGGACCAAUCAUAUCAAAUAUUGCAGGGCCUGGAAUUUCCUCCACAUCAUUCAGUUUGUCAUGUAGUAGGAGAACAUCAUUUGUGUAAACCAAAACAUCAUUUGAUUCCAGUUUUUCAUAGUGUACAUAAGCUUAAUUUGUUGCGAUGUUGGCAAGCAAAACACAGUUAAAUAAAAGUCGCAAGCACAAAAUUCCAGCAUCCCCGUUGAACAUGUGAUGAGGUAGACAAUCAGUUAUUCGCAGAUUGAUCUUUCCAUUUAAUACGAUAACAAACAGCUCCAGUAAGUUCAGCAAUUCGACUGAAAUCACAUCCCAAUAUGAUUAU